AACUUUUGGCUAUGUAUCUCUUGGCUCUCGCAUCGAUGAAGAACGCAGCGAAAUGCGAUAAGUAAUGUGAAUUGCAGAAUUCAGUGAAUCAUCGAAUCUUUGAACGCACCUUGCGCUCCUUGGUAUUCCGAGGAGCAUGCCUGUUUGAGUGUCAUUAAUAUAUAUAUCAAACUUCUCUUUUUGAGUGGUUUGGAUGUGGGGGUUUGCUGGCCUCUUAAUGGGUUCAGCUCUCCUGAAAUGCAUUAGCAGAACAAUCCUGUUCAUUGGUGUGAUAACUAACUACGCUAUUGGAUAUAAGGAAAAGUUCAGCUUUCUAACAGUCCUUUGGACAAUUCAUCAUUAAUGUGACCUCAAAUCAGUUAUGACUACCCGCUGAACUUAAGCAUAUCAAUAAGCGGAGGCU
rnacentral:misc_RNA from 1 species